rnacentral:lncRNA from 1 species
GUCAAUUUCUGUCAUAAUUCAAUUUUGUUGGUUUAUUGUAGGGAGUGGGGGGAGGCAUGGGGAGACAGGGAGAGAUUGGUCCAAAGGGUUUCCCCGGACUUAAGGGGCCCAAAGACGAGCCUGGAGAUAAAGGAGAACCAGGAGAGCAGGUGAGGCUGAUUGAUAUUUUCUUUCUAGAGAACAUCUAAAUUGUUCAUUAAGAUGACUGUCUGAAUGUCUUUGUCGGGUCCAGGGGCCAGAGGGUCUUCCAGGCGACAGGGGGCACCAAGCGUCUCCUGGAUUGGAGGUAGGAACACAGACAUGUGAACUGUGGUGUUGAUAUGUCUUUGGCAACAUGACGUAAGUUGGUAAACAUUUUGGUUGAUGUUUUUUUCUACUCAUCCCUACUCUUAGGGUUUGCCUGGUGAGGUGGGGCCUCAGGGAACUGUUGGCCCACCAGGACCUUUGGGACCAAAAGGUCGAACAGGCCCUGAGGGGAGACUUGGCCAGAAAGGUCAAAAGGUCAGGUUAAGCUUCACCUUUCACCUGUCUUUACAUCUACAUAUAUAGUAUUUAACACUCUGUCCCAUUCUGACAUCCUACCUGUAUCAAAGGCCAUAUCAUAAUGUCCACUUAGUGUAGUAUGUGAUUGUAGGUCUUUCUUUUUGUCAGGGGUAUGAUGGUCGAAAUGGGUAUCCAGGAAAGACCGGACACAUUGGAAGGAGGGGGAAUAGAGGAAAAACUGGAAGCAAAGGCUUAGGUGGAGAGAGAGGAGAAAAGGGAAAGAGGGGAGAUUUUGGUUCAACCGGGCCUCCAGGACGACAAGGGCCUUACGUAAGUUAUUUGAUCUGUUUUGGAAAGGCACUUUUCAAUGCCAGGAGGAUUAGCUCUAUAACUCAAUCACUGGGUCCCCAAAACUCAGGAAAUAACUUCCCUUGUUUCUCUCAAAGGGGACACCUGGCUUACAAGGAGAGAAGGGUCUAAUGGGUGGACCAGGUAUAGAGGUAAGACCUUGACUGA